UGGGGAAUAUUGGGCAAUGGGCGCAAGCCUGACCCAGCAACGCCGCGUGAAGGAAGAAGGCUUUCGGGUUGUAAACUUCCUUUGUCGGGGAAGAUGAAGAGACGGUACCUGACGGAUAAGCCACGGCUAACUACGUGCCAGCAGCCGCGGUAAUACGUAGGUGGCAAGCGUUGUCCGGAUUUACUGGGUGUAAAGGGCGUGUAGGCGGGACUGCAAGUCAGGCGUGAAAACCAGAGGCUCAACCUCUGGCCUGCGUUUGAAACUGUGGUUCUUGAGUACUGGAGAGGUUGACGGAAUUCCUAGUGUAGCGGUGAAAUGCGUAGAUAUUAGGAGGAACACCAGUGGCGAAGGCGGUCAACUGGACAGCAACUGACGCUGAGGCGCGAAAGCGUGGGGAGCAAACAGG
rnacentral:rRNA from 1 species